GUAGGGAAUUUUCGUCAAUGGGGGGAACCCUGAACGAGCAAUGCCGCGUGAGUGAGGAAGGUCUUCGGAUCGUAAAGCUCUGUUGCAGGAGAAAAACGGCGGUCACAGGAAAUGGUGACCGAGUGAUGGUAACGUGCCAGAAGCCGCGGUAAUACGUAGGUGGCGAGCGUUAUCCGGAAUGAUUGGGCGUAAAGGGUGCGUAGGUGGCCUGGUAAGUCUGGAGUGAAAGGCGGCAGCUCAACUGUCGUAUGCUCUGGAAACUGUCGGGCUAGAGUGCAGGAGAGGGCGAUGGAACUCCAUGUGUAGCGGUAAAAUGCGUAGAUAUAUGGAAGAACACCAGUGGCGAAGGCGGUCGCCUGGCCUGUAACUGACACUGAAGCACGAAAGCGUGGGGAGCAAAUAGGAUUAGAAACCCUAGUAGUCC
rnacentral:rRNA from 1 species